rnacentral:rRNA from 1 species
AACGCGAAGAACCUUACCUACUCUUGACAUCCAGGGAAUUUCACAGAGAUGUGGAAGUGCCGAAAGGAACCCUGAGACAGGUGCUGCAUGGCUGUCGUCAGCUCGUGUUGUGAGAUGUUGGGUUAAGUCCCGUAACGAGCGCAACCCUUAUCCUUAGUUGCCAUCAUUUAGUUGGGGACUCUAAGGAGACUGCUGGUGAAGAACCGGAGGAAGGCGGGGACGACGUCAAGUCAUCAUGGCCUUUAUGAGUAGGGCAACACACGUGCUACAAUGGGAAAUACAGAGGGAAGCCAACCUGCGAAGGGGAGCCAAUCUCAAAAAAUUUCUCGUAGUCCGGAUUGGAGUCUGCAACUCGACUCCAUGAAGUUGGAAUCGCUAGUAAUCGCGAAUCAGAACGUCGCGGUGAAUACGUUCCCGGGCCUUGUACACACCGGAGUGC